CUCCGGGAGGAGGUUAGCAGGCUGAGGGGGAUCAGGGAGGUGGAGGAUGAAAUUGACAGUUAUUUCCUUUCCCUGCAGGCCCAGGCACCUAAGGAAGAAGCAGCCCGGGGAGUGCCCUCCACAGCAGAGUGGCAGACGGUCACAGCCAGGACCGGAGCAGCUCGCAGCGAACCGGUACCAGCUUCUCCAGUCCGACUGGUGAACAGAUCAAGAGAUCCACGAGGAGCCAGAGGAGGAGGCGACGAGUGCUCGUCAUAGGCGACUCCAUCCUGAGAGGUAUGGAAGGGCCCAUCUGUCGCCAGGACCCCUUGGCACGAGAGGUAUGCUGCCUCCCUGGAGCAAAGAUUCAGGAUGUGAUGGAAGUAAUCCAGGCCAGGACCAAGCCCACCGAUUACUACCCCAUGGUCCUAGUCCAUGUGGGUACUAAUGAUGCGUCCAGGAGAACCCCCGAUCACCUGAUGGCGGACUACAGUGCUCUGGGUGGCGUGCUGAAGGAGUUCGGUGCACAGGUGGUUUUCUCUUCCAUCUUACCAGUGACCGGAUGAGGAAGACGGCAGGAGAACUGCAUCAGAGAGACCAACUGGCGGCUUCGGCAGUGGUGUCUCGAGGCAGGCUUCGGAUUCCUGGACAAUGACCCGCACAUCACAACGAGGGACAUGCUCAGCUGGGAUGGGCUUCACCUGUCCCCCAAAGUCCUUCACAGUCGCGGAUGACUGUCUUCCAUAAAUGUUUGAACUGUGGUUCUGAAGAUGGCUGAUGAGAUUGAUCCAGGAUCGGCAGACUCUGUUGCAACUUGGGCACAUGUUUCCAUGCGGGGUAUGUUGGGAGCCAAGGGGCCCGCCAACUCACUCACACCGCCGCUUCCACAAAUUACAUUGUCACAGAGAUGCAAAAGAGAGAUGCCAGCUUCAGGGUGUUAUUGGUGGCAUAGGAUGAACAAGAGCAGAGUGACUUGAAGAGGAGCAUGGAAUCGGAGACCUUGGGAAUGAGACAAAGACAAGGAGCUCAUGGAGUGCUGAAUGGUACUGAACACUAGAUCUGAGCAGCUCUAAGUCUCUUUGCAGUAGGCCUGUGCAAAGCAGUUAGUAUUCACUUCAGAUUCGGAUUCGGAUUUGGCCGAUUCAGGGGACAGUGAUUCGAUAUGCUAAUUUGAAUCACUGUCCCAAAUUGACUGGCUGAAUCUGAUUCGGAGAUUCGGCUGCCGCCAGCCAAAUCUCUGAAUCAAACAGUCCCCAUCCCCCACCUGCUCUUCCAGGCCGUCAAUGACUGUUCUGCCCGUCCCCAGCAUCCUGGCUCUUAAAAAAAAAAAGAAAAAAAAAAAGAAAAAGCCCUGCACUCUCCAGCUUCUGCCAAGUGGGGGGGCUAUUCCCACUGCCCCACACUGCAUGGGGGCUCUGCCAUGAGCCCCCAGAAGCCCUGAGAGCUGUUGCAGCAGCCAGUGAGCGCGGGGCUUUUUUUCAUGUUUUUUUUUUUUUUAAAGAACUGGGAGCUGGGGCUGGGUGAGGAAGCUGGGAGAGCGGGCGGGGGAUGGGGGCUUGUGGCAGAGGCUCCCAUGCAGUGCAGAGCAGCGGGGGGCAGCAGGGAUCACCGCCCCCCCCCACACACCUGGCAGA